CUCCCCCCCCCGCCGUGAACUCGACCGCGCGUUUUUCCUUUGCGUAAAAAGACUGAGGACGAUUGAUUGAAGUUUGAACUUUGAAGUAAAUUUAAAGUUAUUUUGAAAAAUUUUACUUUUAAAAAAGUACUUCUUUAUUGUUCUUUUCAAUCUUAUGUUUACUGGUUUACUAUUUGCUGCUAAUGUGCAAAGAAUUUCAAUGUUUGAUGAUGCUGCGUUUGCGUUUAAUCCAUCGAAAGAUUUUAUGCGAAAAGAUCUUGACCCGUGCUUGCUGUAUUGAGUAUUUGUACACUUGCAUUCAUCAGCACAAACCAGGACACGAUAAGAAAGUUCAUCAUAUUGAAUCUCCUGCACAACUGUCUGCUCUGAAAUACGUCCAUGAUGUACAUCCUGCCAUCAAGGUCCCACGGUUACUACGAAAAGCCAAAGACAAGGAGCAGAUAGCACGAUAUUGUUUGGUGAAGAGACUUUGUUUUGAGGGAAACUUUGAACAAGCUAUCGCAAAUGUGGAAUAUUGGCUCCAGUAUGAGGAUGUCACACCAAGCAUUAUUUUGAUACUAAAUGGCUUGUUGUACUCGCUAUUUGAACGGGGAAAUUUGAAAGAUAUAGUCAGUUUGAAUGAAACCAUAGAUAAGCUUGAUGUUGCUGGGGAUAGAGCCACAUAUACCGUACUUAUUGAUAGUUAUGGUAAAAUGAACGACUUUGAAAAAGUUGAAAAACUCUUGGCACUUGUAAGCGACCAUGAUAUAGUGCCUCAUUACAGGUCAUUUAUUGUAGCUGCAGAUUUGGCACUUGGUAAAAUGCUGUUUUCAAAAGCUGUUGAAUAUUUCCUAAAGAUCGAGGGCACCCAUAAAGAAAAUCAUGAUCACUUUUGUGCAGCAUUUCUUUCAAAACUCAUUGCAAACAAGCAAGUUGAUGCCAUUGAAAGUGUUUUUCAAGAUUUCAAGACACAAAGAACAGCAAUUGGUGAACAGACAAUGUUAGUUAUUGAGAAAUAUUUUCACAGUGGAUUAUUACCUGGGAACAACUGGAAGAUAAGCACAACAUCUGUCUCAGCCAGUGGAAUUUGUCAAAAUUGCCAAAGGGAAUUGGAAAGGCGAGCAUUUGGAAAACCGGAAGAAGAUCUGAGUGAAUACUUCAAGCAAUUGAUAAACAAUGAACUGAAAACUGAUAGUUCAGAAGAAAAUGCAAGUGAAAGGGCAAUAUCAAGCAAAGAUAGGCUACAAGGAUUGUUCAGAUUAUUGGAGCAGAAAGGAGAGUUCAAUGUUGUUGUUGAUGGACUAAAUGUUGCAAUGCAUCCAAAGCAUGGUCUUGACUUUGAACCGCUGCUUAGAUUGGUGGAAAAUUAUACGUCCCAAGGCCAGAAAGUGCUGGUAAUUGCAGCAAACGAAUUGAUUAAUCCAAAAAGAUCUAAAACAGUUUCGAGAAGAGAACAUCAAAAAGCAUUGGCAUAUCUUAGAAGCAUCUCAUCAGUUCACUUUGUCAAACAUAAUAAAAGCGGUAUCGAUGAUCUUUUUCUCAUCAUUGCUACGCUUCAGUUGUGUCGUAAGGAUUGUACGGUGAAGCUGGUUAGUAACGACCAAUUUCUGGAUCAUUUUGUCAACAUGAAACCACAAACAUCAUCUUAUUUCAAGCGCUGGCUUUCCGAUCAUCAGGUCACUGUUCAUUGGUAUGAUCGCAACAAAAUGAAAUUGCUUUCUGAGUCAGUAAGUGAAUUUGCAAGGACAAUACAAAGAACUGAAUGUUCCUGGCAUUUUCCUUCCGUGGACGAAACAAAUUGGAUGUGUGUCGAAAAAAUUUAACGUCAAAAGUUUGGACACGUGACGGUGAGAGAAAACCCCGCAGCCCGGAAAUAGCUUGGUUCUGCUUGGUUGUUGUUGCACGUUCUUUUUAUUAGAAGGCACAUUUCAUGGAAAUUUAUGAUAAUUUGUUGUAAAGAAAGUUUGUUAAAAUGGUUGCUGUUUUUCAAUCUGUUGUUCCAACUGCACCCUGACCCAGCCUUGUGUGUUA
rnacentral:misc_RNA from 1 species